CUUACCUUUACAUUAUAUUAUACAUAUGGCUCACAAAAAGAGAUGUUAAUAGGCAGAACGAUUUGUCAUUCAGCUACUUCCUCAUAUAGCUAAUUAAAUGGCAAAUAAGAGUUUCUCAUUUCAUUUUGUGUGCCAAAUAUAUUUAUUUGGAUAAAUUAAUUGUAUAAUAGUAAUACAUAAUGACUUUAAAAAGCAGAAGUAAUUACCUUAAUUUAUUUGUUAGAAUAUGUACAUUUUAACAAAUUGCAAAAGCUGAAUAAUCAAUAAAUGUCUAACCAUGAAAUGUCGACCGAGUUUGGAGACCCCUGGCUUAGCACAGUGAAAGUAUUUGAAGUUUUGGUUAUGAAAAUGGUGGUGUGGUCAUAUAAUGACUUUAAACCGGACACUACUCUGAGCUGUUCACAUUAUGCUCCAGAUAUGUAAUCAGGUCCACCCUUUUGGAAUGGUAAACAUGACACUAUUCAUCACUCACACAAAUAAAUAAUUUAAUAUUUGGAUAAUUGAAUUGGUUUUUGCUGUUAAACUGGAAUGGAUCCACACUGCAAAUCUUAUGAAGAUGUUUGCAUACUGAAGAAGAGUCCUUGGACAAAUAAUUAAACCCUCUUGGUGCCCACUACACAGACUAAUGAAAUUGAAGUACCCAAAUGAAAACCCUAGUAGUAUGGAGUAUAUGUACUUCUAGGAUACUGACCUUGAAGACAGCCCAGCAGAUGUUGGAGUGUUGGAAGAUAAAGUUCUUCAGGAC